CGGGGAGCAGUGUGUCUCUUCGAUUUUUGAGAAAGUAAUCAUGUUGGGAGUCUGGCUCUCGAGAUUCGGAGGGCGGUGCCUCUUCGAUUUUGGAGCAAGCAAUCUUGUUGGGAGUGUUUUCUCGAAUGUGAGUAAAGGUUUGGCAUGUUUGCUAGUCUACCUUGCCACGAAGCACAGAGGUUGACACACAGGGACUUUCCAAUUAUCCAGCAAUGGUACUGUUCCUUUACCUUCUCUUCGAUUUUUAAGAAAGUAGUCAUGUUGGGAGUCUGGCUCUCGAGAUUUGGAGGACGGUGCCUCUUCGAUUUUGGAGCAAUCAAUCUUAUUGGGAGUGUUUUCUCGAAUGUGAGUAAAGGUUGGGCAUGUUUGCUAGUCUACCUUGCCACAAAGCACAGAGGUUGACACACAGGGACUUUCCAAUUAUCCAGCAGUGGUACUGUUCC
rnacentral:lncRNA from 1 species